rnacentral:rRNA from 1 species
UACGUAGGUGACCAGCGUUGUCCGGAUUUACUGGGCGUAAAGAGCGCGCAGGCGGUCGUUCAAGUCGAGUGUGAAAGCCCCCGGCUCAACUGGGGAGGGUCACUUGAUACUGAUCGACUGGAAGGCAGGAGAGGGAAGCGGAAUUCCCGGUGUAGUGGUGAAAUGCGUAGAUAUCGGGAGGAACACCGAUGGCGAAGGCAGGUCUCUGGGCAUUAACUGACGCUGAGGAGCGAAAGCAUGGGGAGCGAACAGG